CACAAACCCAGUGUCGAAAAUUACCGCAACUGGUGGUCCCUACAUGUGCUGAUCUGGGUACACCUGUCUUGGCUUUUUACAGGUGGCAUUGCGACGGUGCAACCCAAAACAACCCAACCGUUAGCUUUGGGAGGAGCUGAGCCACCGGUGGGCUUCCCGCGUCCACCAGGUGAGACGGCUAGAGAUGGUGACAAAGGAAUAAAGAAUCCAAAACCAACCAAAGGGGAUACGGGCGGUGACACAGGGACAAAAAAGCCAGAACCAAUCAAAGAUGAUAUGGGUG